rnacentral:ncRNA from 2 species
CACUCAUCGCGACCGGUCGAGACACUGGGUCUGAGACGCCGGGGCAACCGCGACCUAUGUCGCAUGGUGCCAAUUCCAGCGGGGAUGUCCGGCAUGGGCCGGGCCCCGGGAGAUGAGCG